rnacentral:rRNA from 1 species
AUGUCGGCGGCGCUUCGAUCAGCGGCGAGGAGGCUCGGCCGUGGCUCCCUGCUCCAGCGAACGCAGACGGACCGGCUCUUCUCGCCAAGCAGGCUCGUGCACACCCGUGAGCAUGCUCCUACAGACCUUACGCGUGAGAUCCAGCAGAAGAGAGAUGAGCUACGAAACUUGGUAUCUAAGGCGGUGCAGAAGAAAAGGGAGUUGUAUGCGUUGGGUAAGGCAGACAAGAAUUGUGAGACUCUUGGUGAGCAUCACAUGCUGCCACUAGCACUCCCAUAUCUUUCUCGGCAAAAAGUCGUUCCAAAACCAUUCAUGCGGUUCUUUACAAGGGCUAACGCUUUAUUGGAUGCAGCUGCCCACGUGACAAUAUUCGUUUUGGUUACUGCUGUUGUGGUUAGAGCCAGGUGCGGCAUUGGGGUAAAAGCCCAAACUGUUAAUGAGGAAAACCAGGGAAGUCAAGAUUGA